GGCACUAUAGUGUAGAGGUUAUCACUCAGGAUUUUGAUUAGGGAAUCACCUUCCUGAAACCCAAGUUCGAGCCUUGGUAGUGCCU